UUCGUGUCAUUGGCAAUUCGAUCCUUCGUCCAACUUCGAGAGACGCCUUCGCUUCUCCUUGGGAACCCUAACCCUAGACUCCAACCCCUUCGUGUCGUCGUUGGCCAUGUCGCACUUCGGGAGAUCGGGGCCGCCGGACAUCAAGGACACCUACUCCCUUCUCGUCCUCAACAUCAGCUUCCGAACCACGGCGGAUGAUCUCUUCCCACUCUUUGAUCGGUAUGGUAAAGUGGUUGACGUUUUCAUUCCAAGGGAUCGGAGGAGUGGAGAAUCGCGGGGGUUUGCUUUUGUGAGGUAUAAGUAUGCAGAUGAGGCACAGAAGGCUGUUGAAAGGCUCGAUGGGAGGAAUGUGGAUGGGCGGAAUAUUAUGGUUCAGUUUGCAAAAUAUGGACCGAACGCUGAACGAAUUCAUAAAGGAAGAAUUGUUGAGGCAAUUCCAAAGACGAGGGGCAGGUCAAGAAGCCGUAGCCCUCGACCCAGGUACAGAGACAGUAACCGAGAGAGGGAUUAUAGGAGGCGAAGUCGUAGUAGAAGCAGAGGUAGGUACGAGAGUGACAGGUACAAUGAUCGAGAAAGGGAUUAUCGCCGCCGCAGCCGCAGUGCAAGCCCUGAUUACUCUAGAGGCCGUGGUAGAGAUGAUCGAAGGAGUCGAAGUGUCUCGUAUGACAGUGCCUCACCUGCUAGGCGUAGUCCUAGUCCUGAAAGGAGCCUGACGCCCCGCCGAACACCUCCUUCAAGUCCUGAGAAAGGUAGCCAUGGUGAACGUUCCCCACCUUCAAAAAGUGCAUCACCCCUGGCUCGCCGUACUGGUUCCCGGAGUCCAUCUUCUCGCAGCUUAAAUGAGGAUUAACAUGCUGCUUAUGCAUUGGAGGAUGUGUAUUACCGUUGCUAUCUAACUUUGGAUUCGGUGGACUCCUGUUAAGUUAUCUGUUCGUGAAAGUGCUGAUGUGGCAUUUGACGAGAUGAUAUCAGAAGGAUGUUUCCUUGCUGAUGAUGUUCUGGCCGAUGAUCUUAGUUCAUUAUUGAUGUUGAUGGUGAUGAUGAAUGUUGAUGGUGAUGUUGAUGGUGAUGAUGAAUGUUGAUGGUGCUGUUGAGCUGUUGGUGACUGAAUGCUGUUCGUUUGAUGCUCGUGAUGUCAUUCUGCAGUCACAACAUUGUAGAAACAAGAAGAGGGUUCCAGUAUGCAUCAUGAGGUGUUUAAUUACAUGCAUUGAUUUUGAGUUGGUAAGAAUCAUAUCUUUGUUUAUUGGUCUUGUCCAUAUGAUUUUCUUUCAUUCUAAUUAUGUUACCGUAAUUUGUUUCCAACUUUUUAGCACUAAAGAGUAGUGCUAGCAGUGAUGAUCGUGCCAUUUCCUGUUUCAAUUAACACAUGAUGCCUUUUGAAGAGUUGGAUAUGCAAUUGCACAUGGAUGUGAUGCAGAAGCCGUGCUGGGGUGCACAAUUGAUUUCCAUCUGACACUAAUUUGAAGCAAUUUGUGCUUCCAACCUUGUCCACUGCAUGCUUAGAUGGUUUGGCUGCUGUCAGAAGACUUGUAGAUUGAUGGUCUGACACAAAGACAAGGGGUACCAGCAAUUAUAGGCUUAUGUUAUGGAACAAUUGCAUGCUUAUGAGUAUGGAACAAUCAAAUGGUUGGAACAAUCUAUAGAGGUUGCUUUAUAUCAUUAUUCUCUUGUGGUCUUGCAA